UUUUUGGGCUUCUCACUAACUAACAACCCCAACCAAACCAAACUCAUCUCUUUCUCUCGUCUUCUCUUCUUUGUAUAUUGUUAGUCGUAACCCACCUCUUCUCUGUUACAUCUAUUACUUUAUUUUUAUUUUAUUUAUCUAAAUCUAAAUAUAUAAUACUACUGCUAGUACAUCUCUCUACGACUCUACAUACAUAUAUAUCAUCUAUAUAUAUAUCAUCUGUAUCUAUUCUAUCUAUAUCUUUAGAUAUACUUCGAUUUCGAUUUGAAUCCUAUAAAUAUUAUUAUCCUGAAAAUUCAUUCAUCAUCAUCAUCAACUCAACAAUUUGAGAUCUCAUAGCCUUAUCUCUACAUACAUACAUAUAUUAUAUAUAACACCACGGCAGUCAACCGCCGCCAUCCACUUCAGGCGAACCUCCAUCUACAGCGACGACCGCAUACACCCUAGCCGCAAUCAACCACCGCCGCCCUCAAUCACCGGAUUGUUGCAGUAUUCAGUAUAGCAAGGAUUGGUGACCAUUGGCUCAUGGUUUAAUAUCAUGGAGUUCUAUCCAUAGCCUAUAUAUAUGUACUUUUUUCUUUUUCUUUUUGACCUUUCACGUGUAAUAGGAAGUAGUUUGAUGAUGAAAGAUGCUUCAUUGUAUGAUGAACAAUGUAAUGAUAUCAUAUAUCUAUGUGUUAUAAUAUAAUAUGUGGUUGGACGUCA